UAUCUUGCUGUUUUAUUGCUGCCUGGUUCAGUAUUUAAGUUGCUAAGAGACCCAAGUUCAUCUCAGUAUAGCUGUUUAAGUAUCCAAGUAUUUGACUGAAAAAAUAUAAUAUAUAGUUGAUUAUGCGCUGGCAGCCACAGGGUCAUUUUUGGCCAAAGUCAUUCAAGCUGUUAUUAUUUGCUUCUUCCACCACAUAGACACACAUGGCUGUCACAAUGGAAAAGAGUUCCCUGAUGCAAGCUGAAAGAAGGUUGAGAGAGAUGCACACAAAAAUACCAGGAGGUGCUGAGCACCCUUAAUUCCCACUGAAGACAAGAACACACACCUUGCAUGACUGGUCUCACAAUAGAAAUAUACCUCCCAAAAGAGAGAGAACUAAGGUUGAAUAAUAUGGACUUUUGGCCCAGAAGAGUCCAGAAAACAGGACUUGUAAUGAAGAAGAGUUACUGAGGAAAUCUUUCUCAAUAUGAAACAUGGGAACAAGGUUGAUGGCCCCUCAGGCACCUACUACCCCCCCUUCCUGAUUUUUCACACCUGCUAUCUGGUCAUCCUACUUACCAGCUCCAUAGCUCUGAGAGAGGUAAAGGGGACCAAGGGUGAAAGACUGUGACUGGAUCUGAGGGCCCAACCAAGGAAGAGGUAGAAGGGAAGAAAAUCUCCAGGAUCAGAUCCAAGUUAAGCCUGUUUCAAGGCUGAAGUCAGACUCAGAAAAAACAGUUGAAAAGAGUCCAUGAACAGUAACACAGUAUUGGUGUUUGCAGUGGACACGUUUUGGACAAUGUGAAAUGGAUUUUUUUUUCUUGUCACAGUGAAGGUCAGGUAUUGUUAUUCUGAAAACAUUCCUAAGCUUAUAUCCUGUGUGUGUCUGAGUAUCUUCAAAUCACUCCACCCAACAAGAGUAAACCAAAAAGCCUAAUGCCACCAGUCAAUAUCAAGGACGAGGUGAGAGGAGAAGAUGAAGAAGUAAUUCAGUAUGAUGGAGUCACUAAUAUUACAGGAGUCACAGCCAACUUAGAUAAGACACUGUUGUGAGACAGCCCCACAGCAGCUGUUGCAGUCCCAAAACUGUCAUUUUCGAGUGUUAAAAAUUGUCUAACUACUGUCUAAGAAACUGGGAGGACAGGAAGAGAAAAGAGCGAAGUCAAUGCGCUAUGAUUUUAGCCUUCACUGACCCAUUUUGUCAAAGAAGUACUGUGCUACAGAUUGCACAGUUGCACAGUACAGCGUUUCACUGACACAUUUUGAUCCUUUUUUCCUCAAAGGUCUUUCAUUCCCUAGUAGAUCUUAUAGAAGGACAUGAACUACUCUGGGCUUCCUGAGGGAGAGAUUUACUUUGUCCAGGUUAAUAAAUUAUCUAGUAAUCUCAUGUGGCAUCUGGGUAGGCAAUUUAUUACACCUACUAUAAAACCCUUGGAAUCAAAGAUGAGUAAACAUCUUAAAAGGGCAGGACAACCUAUCAUAAUGAGGCAAAUUCAGAGGCAUGCCAUAAUCUAACACUUAACUGUUGUAGUCUCUUCCAUAAAGCCACGUGUCUCAUGAAAAAUGACAAUCUGCCACACGCAAGGGAAUUCUCUCCUCCAGUCCGUAGUGCCAAUCACUAUUUUUCAUGUAUUCCAUGCACCGAAUUGGCAUUGGUGUCAAUGGGAGUUCAGCAUAGAGAAGUACACAAUGUGCAAUAGAGAUCAACACUGAAUGUAAAAAGAAUUUUGUCUGUACAUCUGAUCCUGUGAUGACCAAGUACAGAAUUAUAGUUAUGUAAAUAAAAACUCACAACACUCCGUCAAAGCAAUAAUUUUUGGUCAACAGUUAAAUGCAUUAACCCAUAGAUAAGAGUGACAUUUGCUAACCAGUCAUCCAAAUGAAUACUUAGGAACACACAUCUAUGUCUUUACCUUUCUCAUCCACAGUAUCUCAAAAGUUUUUGUGAAAUCAUGUCAUGAAAAUUAAAGUGGCUAGAAGAAUUAUAUUCUUGUCAAUUAUUUCACCCCCCCUCCAAAAAUUCUUAGGAUUUACCCACUGAUUAAAUUCCUGCUAAAGUAAAUGAGAAAAUUACAAGUCAGUGAAAAAUUUAGGGAGCAUUAUUGUCUUUAUGAAAAAAAACCUAUCAUUUUAAUUAAAUCAAAUCCAACUGUUGAAAAUAAAGCAUUUUAAAUCAUUUAACUAUGAAUUAUAUGUAAACCUUACAAUAACAAAAUUUAAAAAUUCAUGUGAUUUUUUUAAAUGCUAGGCUCACUUCUUUGGAGACACAUUUUCAGUCCAAAAAGUUAUCUGUCCAAAAAUGUUUAGAAUCAGCAUCGUAUUAGCUAUUAACAAAGGGUAUGAUCCUGACCUCAUUAAAGAACAAUGAGAAUUUUUAACAUUGAUUUUAGCGGGAUCUGCAAGAGGCCCAAAACCAUUUUGAAUUCAGCAAGUAUGAGUAUGUGACACUCCAUAAUGGUUACCAGAGGUGGUAUUCUCCUCAAAAUAUUCCAGGAGUAUGCUUAAUUCCUAUUAACUGUGCUGUAAAUCUCCUAUGUACAGUAACUCCUCACUUAACGUUGUAGUUAUGUUCCUGAAAAAUGUGACUUUAAGCAAAACGAUGUUAAGCGAAUCCAAUUUCCCCAUAAGAAUUAAUGUAAAUG